rnacentral:rRNA from 1 species
UUUUAGAAUUUAAUUUAAAGUCUAACCUGCCCACUGAAUAAUUUUAAAUGGCCGCAGUAUCCUAACUGUGCAAAGGUAGCAUAAUCAUUAGUCUUUUAAUUGAAGGCUGGAAUGAAUGGUUGAAUGAAAUAUUAACUGUUUCAUAAAAAUUAUAAAUAAAAUUUUAUUUUUUAGUCAAAAAGCUAAAAUAAUUUUAAAAGACGAGAAGACCCUAUAAAUCUUUAUAUUUUAAUAAUUUUAAUUAUUUAGAUAAAUUAAAUUAUAAUUAUUUUAAAUAUUUUAUUGGGGUGAUAUUAAAAUUUAAUAAACUUUUAAUUUAUUAUUUACAUAAAUUAAUGAAUUAUUGAUCCAUUUAUUAUGAUUAAAAAUUUAAGUUACUUUAGGGAUAACAGCGUAAUUUUUUUAGAGAGUUCAUAUUGAUAAAAAAGAUUGCGACCUCGAUGUUGGAUUAAGAUAUAAUUUUAGGUGCAGUAGCUUAAAUUUAAAGUCUGUUCGACUUUUAAAUUCUUACA